AACGAUGAUAGGAAGCUUGCUUCCUUGAUUAGUGGCGCACGGGUGAGUAUACCAUAGAUAAUGUACCUCUUAGUUUGGGAUAGCCACUGGAAACGGUGAUUAAUACCAGAUACUCCUUCUCGUUAUAAGACGAGUCGGGAAAGUUUUUUCGCUAAGAGAUCAGUCUAUGUCCUAUCAGCUAGUUGGUGAGGUAAUGGCUCACCAAGGCUAUGACGGGUAUCUGGUUUGAGAGGAUGAUCAGACACACUGGAACUGAGACACGGUCCAGACUCCUACGGGAGGCAGCAGUGAGGAAUAUUGCACAAUGGAGGAAACUCUGAUGCAGCAACGCCGCGUGGAGGAUGACGCAUUUCGGUGUGUAAACUCCUUUUAAGAGGGAAGAUAAUGACGGUACCUCUUGAAUAAGCACCGGCUAACUCCGUGCCAGCAGCCGCGGUAAUACGGAGGGUGCAAGCGUUACUCGGAAUCACUGGGCGUAAAGGGUGCGUAGGCUGGCUUCUAAGUCAGAUGUGAAAUCCAAUGGCUCAACCAUUGAACUGCAUUUGAAACUGGGAGCCUAGAGUUCAGAAGGGGCAGAUGGAAUUAGUGGUGUAGGGGUAAAAUCCGUAGAUAUCACUAGG
rnacentral:rRNA from 1 species